CAAAUCGGGUGAGGGGCAUUCCAGGCUGCCUCUUCAUUGAGGCAAGCCUGCAAUGCUCCAGGGGGGCUUCACAACCUCCCGAUCCCCGUGAUUCACAGUGAAUCACGGCGAUCGGUGGGUUAAACUACAGGCCAGUGACUGAAAGGGGGCUACACAACCUCAGUGUAUAGUCAAAAAAAAAAAAAAAUA